AAGGUUUUAAGUUAAAUAAACUAGCAGCCUUCAAAGUUUCUUA
rnacentral:tRNA from 1 species